GAGGGUAUAGCUUAGUGCUAGAGCACGUGCUUAGCAUGCACGAGGUUCCAGGUUCAAUCCCAAGUACCUCCA
rnacentral:tRNA from 1 species